rnacentral:rRNA from 1 species
UCCGUAGGGUGCAAGCGUUAAUCGGAAUUAUUGGGCGUAUAGGGCGCGUAGGCGGACUUGCAAGUCGGAUGUGAAAUCCCGAAGCUCAACUUCGGAACUGCAUCCGAAACUGCGAGUCUAGAGGAUAGGCGGAGAAAACGGAAUUCCACAAGUAGCGGUGAAAUGCGUAGAUAUGUGGAAGAACACCCGUGGCGAAGGCGGUUUUCUAGCUUAGACCUGACGCUGAGGCGCGAAAGCAAGGGGAUAAAACAGG